rnacentral:tRNA from 1 species
GGCCUUGUAGUCUAGAGGUACGAUACUUGCUUUGGGUGGCAAUUGCAAGUGGCCUGGGUUCGAUUCCCAGCAAGGCCC